rnacentral:rRNA from 1 species
AUGGCCCCCAAGGCGGAGAAGAAGCCGGUGGCGGAGAAGGCCGAGAAGACGACGGCGGCGAAGAAGACCAAGGCCGAGAAGCGGCCGCCGGCGUCCAAGGAGGGCGGCGAGAAGAAGGGGAAGAAGAAGGCCAAGAAGAGCGUGGAGACGUACAAGAUCUACAUCUUCAAGGUGCUGAAGCAGGUGCACCCGGACAUCGGCAUCUCCUCCAAGGCCAUGUCCAUCAUGAACUCCUUCAUCAACGACAUCUUCGAGAAGCUGGCCGGCGAGUCGGCCAAGCUCGCCCGCUACAACAAGAAGCCCACCAUCACGUCCAGGGAAAUCCAGACCUCUGUCCGCCUCGUCCUCCCCGGCGAGCUCGCCAAGCACGCCGUCUCCGAGGGAACCAAGGCCGUCACUAAGUUCACCUCCGCUUAG